rnacentral:rRNA from 2 species
UUGGAGGGCAAGUCUGGUGCCAGCAGCCGCGGUAAUUCCAGCUCCAAUAGCGUAUAUUAAAGUUGUUGCAGUUAAAAAGCUCGUAGUUGAACUUCGGGAUCAAUGAGUUGGUCGUGCCCUUGGUAUGAACUGGCUUUAUUGGUUCUCACCUUCUAAUGAACCUUAAUGUCAUUCAUUUGAUGUUCUGGGGAAUUAGGACUGUUACCUUGAAAAAAUUAGAGUGUUUAAAGCAGGCUCACGCUCGAAUACAUUAGCAUGGAAUAAUGAAAUAGGACAUCGCAUUCUAUUUUGUUGGUUUCUAGGAUCGAUGUAAUGAUUAAUAGGGAUAGUUGGGGGCAUUAGUAUUCAAUUGUCAGAGGUGAAAUUCUUGGAUUUAUUGAAGACUAACUACUGCGAAAGCAUUUGCCAAGGAUGUUUUCAUUAAUCAAGAACGAAAGUUAGGGGAUCGAAGACGAUCAGAUACCGUCGUAGUCUUAACCAUGAACUAUGCCGACUAGGGAUCGGAUGAUGUUGAUUUUUUAAUGACUCAUUCGGCGCCUUACGGGAAAC